CGAACGCUGGCGGCGUGCUUAACACAUGCAAGUCGAACGGAAAGGCCCCUUUGGGGGUACUCGAGUGGCGAACGGGUGAGUAACACGUGAGUAACCUGCCCUUGACUUCGGGAUAACUUCAGGAAACUGGGGCUAAUACCGGAUAGGAAUCCUUGCUGCAUGGUGGGGGUUGGAAAGCUUCGGCGGUUUUGGAUGGACUCGCGGCUUAUCAGCUUGUUGGUGGGGUAGUGGCUUACCAAGGCUUUGACGGGUAGCCGGCCUGAGAGGGCGACCGGCCACAUUGGGACUGAGAUACGGCCCAGACUCCUACGGGAGGCAGCAGUGGGGAAUAUUGCACAAUGGGCGGAAGCCUGAUGCAGUAACGCCGCGUGCGGGAUGACGGCCUUCGGGUUGUAAACCGCUUUCAGCAGGGGCGAAGCUUGUGGUGACGGUACCUGCAGAAGAAGCACCGGCUAACUACGUG
rnacentral:rRNA from 1 species